rnacentral:lncRNA from 1 species
CACAGAGCAAGGCUGUAAAUCCAUGUUGGGUACAGGAAGACAGAAAAGGAGCCCUAGGAGGGAAGUGAGGAAGACACUAGGGACCAGGCAGCAGCAGCAACACGCUGACCUCUUCACUUCUGACACAGCUUCUAGUUGGGCAAAGCAGAUCUCCGGAAUUGAUUCUUGAGAUUCAAAAUGGAAUAUUCUGAAUGGAUCAUGAAAUAGAGUUUAAGCCAGAAUCAUUGUAUGGGAUUAGGAGAUGGUGACGGCACAAAUUUAUGGAGGCGAUUGGAGGGGGCAGAGCCCAAAGGACCAUCAAUGUCUUAAGUGUCAUGAUACUCAGUACAUGGUGGUUGACGAUGGCGAUGGUGAUGGUGACAGCAAAGAAACCACAGUAAGACAAUUAGAAUUCCUCUAGGCACAUACUUCCCAGUUUUAUCACUUUUUAAAAAAGAUUUUAUUUAUUUAUUCAUGAGAGACACAGAGAGAGAGAGAGAGAGGCAG